GACGAACGCUGGCGGCGUGCUUAACACAUGCAAGUCGAACGGAAAGGCCCUGCUUUUGUGGGGUGCUCGAGUGGCGAACGGGUGAGUAACACGCGAGUAAACUGCACUUGACUUUCGGAUAACUUCAGGAAACUGGGGCUAAUACCCGAUAGGAGCUCCUGCUGCAUGGUGUGGGUUGGAAAGUUUCGGCCGUUGGGGCUGGACUCGCGGCUUAUCCGCUUGUUGGGGGAGUAGUGGCUUACCAAGGCUUUGACGGGUAGCCUGCCUGAGAGGGUGACCAGCGACAUUGGGACUGAGAUACGGCCCAGACUCCUACGGGAGGCAGCAGGGGGAAAUAUUGCACAAUGGGGGGACGCGUGAUGCAGCAACGCCGCGUGCGGGAUAACGGCCUUCGGGUUGUAAACCGCUUUCGCCGGUGACGAAGAGUGAGUGACGGUAAUGGGUAAAGAAGCACCGGCUAACUACGUG
rnacentral:rRNA from 1 species